rnacentral:tRNA from 1 species
GGAAUAGCUAGGUGGUAGAGCGUGUGCUUAGCAUGCACGAGGUUCUGGGUUCAAUCCCCAGUACCUCCA